rnacentral:misc_RNA from 1 species
GAAAUGUGAUAAGUAAUGUGAAUUGCAGAAUUCAGUGAAUCAUCGAAUCUUUGAACGCACAUUGCGCCCCCUGGUAUUCCGGGGGGCAUGCCUGUUCGAGCGUCAUUUCACCACUCAAGCCUCGCUUGGUAUUGGGCGACGCGGUCCGCCGCGCGCCUCAAAUCGACCGGCUGGGUCUUUCGUCCCCUCAGCGUUGUGGAAACUAUUCGCUAAAGGGUGCCGCGGGAGGCCACGCCGUAAAACAACCCCAUUUUCUAAGGUUGACCUCGUAUCAGGUAGGGAUACCCGCUGAACUUAAGC